UUGAACAUAAAACAAAUUAUAAAGUUAAAGAAUAAGCAAUUGUAUAAUAAUCACGAAAUGAGAAAGAAAUCAACUGUCCGUUUAAACCACCCAAUGAAAUCAUACUGCAUCACACCCACAAAGGCAAGAAGGCCCGCUCGCAGUUGCCAUUGUUACUUUUCACAUAUGGGGGAGAUAAUGACGAAGGACGCAACUCUGGAAGAUUUACUUCGUACGAUGUGAACGGACAUCUUUAAAAUUUAAACUAAUAGCUUUUGAUAAAGAAUUAAUUAUUGUAAUUAUUUCCUUUAUAAAUAAAAAUCAAAUAGAUCUUAGGCGUA